GCCCUGGUGGUCCAGUGGUUAGGACUCGGUGCUCUUAGCGCUGUGGCCCGGGUUCGUUUCCCGGUCAGGGAA
rfam:Equus caballus chromosome 25, whole genome shotgun sequence.